rnacentral:rRNA from 1 species
UACGUAGGUGGCAAGCGUUGUCCGGAAUUAUUGGGCGUAAAGCGCGCGCAGGCGGUCCUUUAAGUCUGAUGUGAAAGCCCACGGCUCAACCGUGGAGGGUCAUUGGAAACUGGGGGACUUGAGUGCAGAAGAGGAGAGUGGAAUUCCACGUGUAGCGGUGAAAUGCGUAGAUAUCGGGAGGAACACCUGUGGCGAAAGCGGCGCACUGGACCACAUCUGACGCUGAGGCGCGAAAGCGUGGGGAGCAAACAGG